UACAGAGGUCCCAAGCGUUGUUCGGAUUCACUGGGCGUAAAGGGUGCGUAGGCGGUCGGGUAAGUCUGAUGUGAAAUCUCACAGCUUAACUGUGAAACUGCAUUGGAUACUAUUCGGCUUGAGAGUUGGAGGGGGGACUGGAAUUCUCGGUGUAGCGGUGAAAUGCGUAGAGAUCGGGAGGAACACCAGAGGCGAAGGCGGCGACCUGGACAGGUACUGACACUCAACUACGAAAGCGUGGGGAGCAAACAGG
rnacentral:rRNA from 1 species